UACGUAGGGAGCAAGCGUUGUCCGGAAUCACUGGGCGUAAAGAGCGUGUAGGCGGCCAGGUAGGUCGGUUGUGAAAACUGGAGGCUCAACCUUCAGAGGUCGACCGAAACCAUCUGGCUAGAGUACGGGAGAGGAAAGUGGAAUUCCUGGUGUAGCGGUGAAAUGCGUAGAUAUCAGGAGGAACACCGGUGGUGUAGACGGCUUUCUGGACCGUAACUGACGCUGAGACGCGAAAGCGUGGGUAGCAAACAGG
rnacentral:rRNA from 1 species